GGGGAGGGAGUGCGGAGCUCUCCCGGCUCUCCGCGGCCGGCCGUGCCCCAGGACAGCCCCUUUGUGCCGGAGCAGCUCUUCGCCGGGGUUUCCCCGGUCCCACGCGCCGCCGAGGAGCAAUGGCAUCUAUGGUGCUUGUCUGUGUGUGGGAGGACUCAGAGGGAGACCUGAACACCAGCACCUCUUUCUGCUGUUUUUCCACCCUGCACCAUCAGCAAGCUUGAUGGAAGCAGCACAGGGUUUUAUCAUUACUGUACAAACAUGUCAAGCUGCACUUCCUCUUUGUGGAAUCAUACAAUAUUCCCACUCAACAGGAUCCUAUUCUAUUACUGAAAGCUGGACACUCCUUUCCAUCACUUAGCUUGUUUUUGAAUACUGGUUUUAAAUGUGCAUUACACUUUUGGAUGAUGAACAUCUAUUGUGUCAAACAACAGAAAGUAGCUCACGAAUUCCAAAGUAUCAACAAAAUUUUAAAGUGGAGGGACUCAGUCUUGUGGCUUACACCUCCCAUUGUUUGCAUUUUGGUGUUGUUUGCUUGAUUGAAUUUGUUCUGUAAUUGCGUCUCGAGUUACAGUCCACCCAUGUCUAGUCGUUCUGUUUAUGAAAUUCACAAAUGUAUCCCAAGACCUUUUCAUUCUUGAGAAGAAACACAAGCAACAGCUUUUCUACAUACAUUUUUGUGGUCUCCUAGGGCAAACCUAGGGAUGUGUUCGCACAUUCUAAGUUGUAUGAAUCUGUACUGCAAGAUCUGCACUAAAACUGAGGGCUGCAGACAAAUAAUGACAGGAGCCCUGUCCGGGCUCUGACUUGAGGCUAACUAUGCUGAGCGGGACACAGAAAAAUAUUGGACAUGACAUAAGAAAAAUGCUGAACAUCACAAAUAAUAUCAGGACACAAUGAUGAAAGUUAUAGCAAGUGCCAGGCAGAAUGGCUGUAUCUUGCACGUGGCUAAGGGCAGGCUGGAUGAGACACGGCCAAACUCCGGAGAUAACAGGGAGAGAACUGGGAGCCUUUCAGGAAGUACAGUCUGAAAAGCCUCAACCCAGAUGAAGACUGGCUAGGUAAGUGUCAGAAAUAACAAGUUUGAUGUCUGUGGGUAAAAAUAAAGUAGAGAUGGAUUGUUUAUUUUGGAAAAGACAGCGGUGGACAAAAGAGGGCGCAUGGCUGGUGGAAAGCGGAGAGGGGAAUUGGGAAAAGUUGUAGAAAGGCACGCAGGCCAUGUGAGUGGGACUGCAUGGGGAACAGCCCAGCACUUGAUGACUGCAGCUUGAGUAGGACUAUGAACAAAACCCAUAAAUUCACCUUUACCACAUAAACAGGGUCAGCUCUCAGCCUCAGGAGAACUGGGUGGGACCUCUACAGGAAGAUCGCUGCCAUCAUUUCAAACAGUGGACAACAGAGGGCGUGAUCUCCCCUGCCCUCUUUUCCAAACAGAAGAUUUCUGCUCUUGUGUCUAUUUUCCCUCUCACGGGUACACAGCAGAUCUCAAAGACAAGUACAGUGCCUCCCAGAAACUAUCAUAUCAAAUGCCAAGGUGAAUUUGUUUCCGUGUGCUCAGCCUAACAACAAGAUUCACAUGCAAUAUUGCAGUGCCUGAAGACUAAAACCAAUUUGGAGUUUAUGGGACAGCUCUAUAGAAAGGAAGUUAUUAAGAAGGGAUGUAAUUAUUGAGCUUAAUUACACUGUCAUCUGGCAUUUUUGUUAAAGUCAAACUACAUCUGUAUGCAGCAGCUGAGAAUCGGGUUCAGAAGCCGUAAUGACUAUUUUGGUGGACCAGAAAACUGGGACCUGAAGUAAUCUGGCAGUUGGAUAAUGCUUACAUCAAAGAGGCUGUGUAGCUCUACUGAUGUCAGGCACACAAAUACAGUCAGGGUCACUGCUUCAUUUUACAAGGCUCAGUAUUAACCUGCUCAUACUUCUGGUGAAGCAGAUUUCCCAUCGUGCAAGAGUGAAGCUCCAGAAAGGCUGUAUGCUUGACAAUUGGGAAUGCAGCCUGAACAAUAACUUCUUUUAAAGGCACUGCUUGAGAAUAACCUCAUUCUGUCAGCGAGUACUCAUCAUGACACAAGAGCAGAAAAGCCAGCUUCGGUGCUUCCUUCCUGUUUUGUGAAGUUAUCUAUGGCUGAUGACUGAACUGGCACUCCUUUAUUUUUUUUUUUUUUCAUUAAAAACAUUGCAAGAAAGCAAAGGGACAGAAUAGAAGUUCUUAUACACCAUUACUACUAAGUGCAUUGCUACCUGCAGCUGUGAUACCUAGAUUUAGGAGGCUUCCAUUACAGCCUUGUGCUGCAUCACUUCAAUUCAGUCACAGAGCCACUCAACAUCCAGUCUUGGUCAGACUAGGAACCAGGUACACAGAUAUUUCCUGGAUGGACAGAGCAAUGCACUGAAUCCUCACAACGCAGGGAUCACACUGGACUGCCCAUAAUCAUGAAAACUGCAUGAGGGAUCUAAUGGAAAUCUAUAGUUGCUGCUUCCUCUUUCCUUAAAAGAGAAAUGUGCAUCUUUGGUGGAGAAAAAAUAAAACACAGAGUAUAUUUUUUGCUUUUCAGUAUUAGUUCUUCUGUAGAAAUGAGAGGCAACAGAAGGCAUUGUCCAACAAGACAGAUGCCUGCUUUGUUUGAUCAUAUGCCAUAGAGGAGGACAAUAAAUGGCUUUGACUCUGAACUGAUUCAGCAGCUUUUAUUAAACAAGGUAUAUGCUUUUGACUGUCUCCCUUGUUGGAAGAAGUGGACUGGUCCAGCUCAUUGCCAUGCAAGGGAUUCAUGCCAUUCUGAGCAAGACUAUGAUUAUGAAUGAAGUC